UGCCGUUGUGGCGCUUUUGUUUAGUACACAUCCAGUUGAAUGCAACAAGUGCAUUUUCGCCUCCUGAUUUUUGGUUUUUAAGUCCGUUUUAAGCUCAAAUAUUAACCAGAAUGAAGGUUUACAUGUGCCUGGUUUUCCUGAUGUUCGUUGGAUAUACCUGGAGUUUAAGUCACACUGAAUCUUGCGGCGGCUUGAAUUCGUGCGGAAAAUACAAGGAUUGUGUGGGUGGUUUAUGCAGAGCUACUGCUGGAUCAGGACAAGAUGAAGGUUUAUGCUUUUCUGACGAUGAUUGUGGGAAACACGAGCUAUGUAACUCUGGCGAGUGCAGACCCAAGCUACACUGAUGACCAACGUGAAUGGAUUGAACCAUGAUCGACCGUGGUUAACCGAGAGCAAGGCUUUAGAUUUGCCGUUUGGUUCAGUAUUCUUCAUCUCUAUCAUUAAGAGUUGCUCUUUUAUUAUUAGUAUUAUUAUUUUUAUUAUUCUUAUUUUUUUAUAUUUAUGUCCCCGUUCAGAAAGCUGGGAUAGACAGCAUUCUGAGGGCGAUCAUUACAUUUGCAUUCAAGAACGUGCAUCAGAAUUAGAUACAUCCCGUCUACCGCAUCGUCACAACUACGGCUGGGACUGUGCCAACUAUAAUAGUUGGGACUAGGUGGUGUGUCCCAACUUUAAUUGGGACCGUCAAUGCCCCAUCCACAGAUGGGGCACUAACUAAAUAAUUGGAGCGUGCAGAUACGGUUCUAUAAUACAGUACAUAUUUUGAUUGAACACACGUUUGUUUAGCAAUGAAAAAAGAGCACUUCAUUAAUCUUUUAUAGUCUGUUGUUUAAAAUACUCAGCCAUGUAUAGGCUACAUCAUAAUUGUAAACUUAGGUACAAAAACCUCAGAUAUGCUUUCGCGAUGCAAUGUAUUCUUAUAUCAGGUAUACGUUGACUUUAUACAAAAACUUUAAACUUACUCAAAAAACCCUUGACAUUAUUCGUUUUAAUUGAACGUAGGCUAUCUUCUUAUUUCUUUUCAUCCUUUGAUGCUUCCUCUUUCGUAAACGAACGGUGAGUGAUAUAAAUUGAGCUAUUUGGUAAAAUAAAGGGACUCUUGCAAAAAAAAUUGUCAGUGCU